GCCGCGCGCUCUUCUGGCGGGCUGGGCGCCGUCGCCACCCGCUGGCCUUGAAGCUCCGCCCACAUAGAGCUCCCGCACCCGCGGCGUCGCGCUCCAGGAAAGAGAUAAAAGCCAUCAUUUUCCCUGCAAAAGUUGGAGCAACACUGAACAAUUCCUUGGGCAACCCUGCACAUUUUAUUGAUGAUGCUCAAGUUCAUCCCUGAACACUGGGAGAAGUGGGAAGAUGUCAAGAGAUAAAAACAGAGGAUGACAGAUCUAAGAGGGACCAAGUGCCUGACUUUCCCCACAAACCCAAAGUAACUGAAACUGAGAAAAACAAAGCCACAGAUAAAGGGGGAUCUACUGUACUUGCUUUGCUCAGCACAAUACUUUACAUUUAUAAAGUACUUUUCAAAACAAUAAAUGUUGGUGUGAAUGCGGAGA